UACGAAGGGGGCUAGCGUUGUCCGAAGUUACUGGGCGUAAAGCGCGCGUAGGCGGGUUGGUAAGUCCGCUGUGAAAGCCCGGAGCUUAACUCCGGAGGGUCGGUGGAUACUGCCAGUCUUGAAGGUGCUAGGGGGAGAUGGAAUUACCGGUGUAGCGGUGAAAUGCGUAGAUAUCGGUAGGAACACCAGUGGCGAAGGCGGUCUCCUGGGGCAUUCUUGACGCUGAGGCGCGAAAGCUGGGGGAGCAAACGGG
rnacentral:rRNA from 1 species